CCCAACGUCCGUGUACUGGUGGUGCUGCGGUGAUGACUUCAUCCUCGACCUCGGCGCCGGCUGGACGGUGCCGUAGGCGCAACCCCGGUGUCGACGGCUGCGACUACGCUUCUACUACACUCUACUACUGUAUAACUUACUUGAUGGCCUGGAGUAUUUUCUAGUCUCAGAAUAAUCCUCUAGAAUUUGUUGGCUGUUACUCUAGCUACUCUAGUUGCUGUUGUGCCUAUACUGUGCCUCUGUUUGGAUGAUGAAUUUAUCAUCAGCACUCUGGAUCUAGUGGCUUGUGGUUCGGCUUGUAUGAAUACCUAUAUAUAGUUUCUUAGCUGCAUCUAGGAUACUACUUGGUUGGCCUGGGAUGAAUGUCCUGGAUCCUAAGUAGUUCCCUGUAACAUGUUGAUUAUUACUGGUGGCUUAUGGUGAUGACUAAAGCCUGUGCAUAUAUGAUCUUGGACAGUAGUGUUGUGGAGAAACACAAAGUGAGCUUUGAGUUUCUAGUAUAUGAUCUAGUUGCAAAGUAGCAACUAGAGAUGAUUUGGUUUUGCAAGGUUGGUUUUUAUUGGUGGAUCUGGCUGUCCCUUGUUUGAUAGUUUCAACUGAUAAGAACGGAUAUAUGUUUGAUUUUC